GACGAACGCUGGCGGCGUGCUUAACACAUGCAAGUCGAACGGCGAAGCCCUUCGGGGUGGCUCAGUGGCGAACGGGUGAGUAACACGUGAGCAACCUGCCCCUGGCUCUGGGACAACCACUGGAAACGGUGGCUAAUACCGCAUACGACCCGCCUCGGCAUCGCGUGUGGGUGCAAAGGUUUUCGGCUGGGGAUGGGCUCGCGGCCGAUCAGCUCGUUGGUGGUGUGUAGGCUCACCAAGGCGCCGACGGGUAGCCGGCCUGAGAGGGUGUACGGCCACACUGGGACUGAGAGACGGCCCAGACUCCUACGGGAGGCAGCAGUGGGGAAUAUUGCACAAUGGGCGAAAGCCUGAUGCAGCGACGCCGCGUGAGGGAUGACGGCCUUCGGGUUGUAAACCUCUUUCAGCUCCGAAGAAGCGAAAGUGACGGUAGGAGCAGAAGAAGCACCGGCUAACUACGUG
rnacentral:rRNA from 1 species